rnacentral:rRNA from 1 species
UGGGGAAUAUUGCACAAUGGGCGCAAGCCUGAUGCAGCCAUGCCGCGUGUAUGAAGAAGGCCUUCGGGUUGUAAAGUACUUUCAGCGGGGAGGAAGGGAGUAAAGUUAAUACCUUUGCUCAUUGACGUUACCCGCAGAAGAAGCACCGGCUAACUCCGUGCCAGCAGCCGCGGUAAUACGGAGGGUGCAAGCGUUAAUCGGAAUUACUGGGCGUAAAGCGCACGCAGGCGGUUUGUUAAGUCAGAUGUGAAAUCCCCGGGCUCAACCUGGGAACUGCCUCUGAUACUGGCAAGCUUGAGUCUCGUAGAGGGGGGUAGAAUUCCAGGUGUAGCGGUGAAAUGCGUAGAGAUCUGGAGGAAUACCGGUGGCGAAGGCGGCCCCCUGGACGAGGACUGACGCUCAGGUGCGAAAGCGUGGGGAGCAAACAGG